UGAAGACAUGUCUCUACUUGCCUCUUAAACUGUCUGGGGCACUGUGGACCUUCUCCUUCAAGAGCACUCAAAUUCACAAAGAUGGAACCCAUCUAAAUAUUUGCACUGAGAGUUGGACAUUUUGUUCAGGAGUUGGUGUAUAAGGGGAUCCAAUUCAUCAGAUGGAAUGAGGCAGUGGGAAUCCAGGCGAUGGGAGGUAUUGAAAGCAGGGGUGAGGAAGGAUGUCCAAUAGAGAUAAAUUAUCAGAAUAAAAACACCAGCUCUCCACAGGAGACAACAGAGAUCCCAAUGGACACAGAGACUAGAUGCUCAACAGCCAGUAACAUAAACUCUCAGAAUUGACAAUAAAACAUCGAAAUGGAGCAGCGGUUGUCAGACGGGAUCUUGGCAAAGACAAGGAAAGCAAUUUGAGGGACCGAGGAAGAAAAAAGUUGAAGAGGACAAGGAAGUAUAACAAGAAAACAAUGAGAAAGGAAAGGAUGACCAAGAGACAUCAAAUAUGGAAGGCAUGCUGUCACCGGCCAGCAUUCAAGAGCCUCCCAAAUCUCACCGGCAUCUCCACUCACCAGGAAAACUCACAAAGGCGACUCAAGUUCAGGAACGAUCACAGGCUGGUACCUGAAAUCACCUGAAAAAAAGCUGAGCAUGGCUACCUCCUAAACAAACAAGGUGAGAAAACUGAGGCUCAGAGAGUGAGGAGAAAUACCCUGGUUCCUCCCUUCCUCCAGUCAUCUGGUCUUUCUCUGUGGCCACCCAUCGAUGGAACUCAGCUGGAAUUGGUUGGCAGGGGACCCAGGGAAAUAAAGUUUGCAGGAGUUAGCUCCUUGUGGUGCAGAGCAAAGCAGAAGAAGAACAGGGAUUGGAUCUGAGACCAAACAGAAUGCCUGGUGAGAAGCUUCUUCUGAUUUCACAGCCAAAAGGAAUGUGUCCUGACUCUGAAAGAUGAUAGCACUUGAUCCAGAAAUUUCCUUCUGCACUGAACACUAUUUAUCAUAUUUGCUUGUGUAUAUAAUAUGUUAUUCACAAGUCUUUUCUCCUUUGGUCGAUAGCCUGUAAAAUUCUCUUGGGUAAGAUACAAGUGCAAAUUAUUAUCACUCCUGUCAUAACGGUUAGCCCCACGCCUUGCUCAAUAAAUAUUAUUUAAUGAGGAAUGAUGCAUUUUCAAUGCCUGUGCUUCUUUAGACUAAGGAGUAUAGCAACAUGUCAGGAGGGUAUGCCAACUACAAGAUAAACACCAUACAUUUCCCUGGAGAGUCAAUUUCACAGUGUGGUAACUUUAAACACAAUU